rnacentral:rRNA from 1 species
CAAUAGCGUAUAUUAAAGUUGUUGCAGUUAAAAAGCUCGUAGUUGGAUUUCUGAUCGAGACAUCAGGUCGGGUCCGAGAGGAUCAUGUACUUUGAUUUUGUUUUGAUCAUCCUUGGGGAGAGCAUUUCUGGCAUUCAGUUGUCGGGAUUGGGAUCCUCAUCGUUUACUGUGAAAAAAUUAGAGUGUUCAGAGCAGGCCUCGGCCUCUGAAUACAUUAGCAUGGAAUAAUAAGAUAGGACUUUGGUGGUCUAUUUUGUUGGUUUGCACGCCAAAGUAAUGAUUAAUAGGGAUAGUUGGGGGUAUUCGUAUUCAAUUGUCAGAGGUGAAAUUCUUGGAUUUAUGGAAGACGAACUACUGCGAAAGCAUUUACCAAGGAUGUUUUCAUUAA